rnacentral:tRNA from 3 species
GACUCCGUAGCUCAGUUGGUAGAGCAAUUGACUCUUAAUCAAUGGGUCGACAGUUCGAACCUGUCCGGGGUCA